GUAGGUGGCGAGCGUUGUCCGGAAUCAUUGGGCGUAAAGGGAGCGCAGGCGGGCAUGUAAGUCUUUCUUAAAAGUGCGGGGCUCAACCCCGUGAUGGGAAAGAAACUAUGUGUCUUGAGUACAGGAGAGGAAAGCGGAAUUCCCAGUGUAGCGGUGAAAUGCGUAGAUAUUGGGAGGAACACCAGUGGCGAAGGCGGCUUUCUGGACUGCAACUGACGCUGAGGCUCGAAAGCCAGGGGAGCGAACGGGAUUAGAUACCCCGGUAGUCCUGGCCGUAAACGAUGGAUACUAGGUGUGGGAGGUAUCGACCCCUACCGUGCCGGAGUUAACGCAAUAAGUAUCCCGCCUGGGGAGUACGGCCGCAAGGCUG
rnacentral:rRNA from 1 species